rnacentral:rRNA from 1 species
CCUACGGGGGGCAGCAGUGGGGAAUAUUGGACAAUGGGGGCAACCCUGAUCCAGCCAUGCCGCGUGUGUGAAGAAGGCCCUCGGGUUGUAAAGCACUUUCAGUGAGGAAGAACGCCUGGUGGUUAAUACCCAUCAGGAAAGACAUCACUCACAGAAGAAGCACCGGCUAACUCCGUGCCAGCAGCCGCGGUAAUACGGAGGGUGCGAGCGUUAAUCGGAAUUACUGGGCGUAAAGCGCGCGUAGGUGGCUUGAUAAGCCGGUUGUGAAAGCCCCGGGCUCAACCUGGGAACGGCAUCCGGAACUGUCAAGCUAGAGUGCAGGAGAGGAAGGUAGAAUUCCCGGUGUAGCGGUGAAAUGCGUAGAGAUCGGGAGGAAUACCAGUGGCGAAGGCGGCCUUCUGGACUGACACUGACGCUGAGGUGCGAAAGCGUGGGUAGCAAACAGGAUUAGAUACCCUUGUAGUC